CCUACGGGAGGCUGCAGUGGGGGAUAUUGCACAAUGGGGGAAACCCUGAUGCAGCGACGCCGCGUGAGUGAAGAAGUACUUCGGUAUGUAAAGCUCUAUCAGCAGGGAGAAAAUGACGGUACCUGAGUAAGAAGCCCCGGCUAACUACGUGCCAGCAGGCGCGGUAAUACGGAGGGGGCAAGCGUUAGCCGGGUUUACUGGGUGUAAAGGGAGCGUAGACGGCAGUGCAAGUCUGAAGUGAAAGGCGGGCGCUCAACCCGCGGACUGCUCUGGAAACUGUACGUCUGGAGUGCAGUAGAGGUAAGUGGAAUUCCUAGUGUAGCGGUGAAAUGCGUAGAUAUUAGGAGGAACACCAGUGGCGAAGGCGGCUUACUGGACUGUAACUGACGUUGAGGCUCGAAAGCGUGGGGAGCAAACAGGAUUAGAUACCCGUGUAGUC
rnacentral:rRNA from 1 species